rnacentral:rRNA from 1 species
GGCUUGUUGAUUUUAAUUUCAGGUCGGGCCUGCCCAGUGAUUUAUUAAAUGGCCGCGGUAUUUUGACCGUGCAAAGGUAGCAUAAUCAUUAGUUUUUUAAUUAGGAGCUUGAAUGAAGGGUUUGAUGAAAAAGUUUCUGUCUCUGGGAAAAUUUACUAGAAUUUUAUUUUUAAGUAAAAAAGCUUAAAUUUGUAUAGAAGACGAGAAGACCCUGUAGAGUUUUAUAUUUAUUUAAAUAACUAAAUUAUUGGUUUAAUAGCUUGCUUAUUUGAGUGAUUAUUUUGUUGGGGUGACGGAAAAAUAAAAUAAACUUUUUUUGUAUUUAUACAUUUGUAUAUGAAUAUAUGAUCCUGAAGUUUAGAUUAUAAGAUAAAAUUACCUUAGGGAUAACAGCGUUAUUUUUUUUAGAGUUCUUAUCGAAAAAAUAGAUUGCGACCUCGAUGUUGGAUUAAAAUUUAUUAGUGGUGGAGAGGCUUCAAUUAAUUAGGUCUGUUCGACCUUUGAAAUUUUACAUGAUCUGAGUUUAGACCGGCGUGAG